rnacentral:rRNA from 1 species
GUCAACGCCGUAAACGAUGGAUACUAGCUGUUGGGCGCAAGUUCAGUGGCUAAGCGAAAGUGAUAAGUAUCCCACCUGGGGAGUACGAACGCAAGUUUGAAACUCAAAGGAAUUGACGGGGGCCCGCACAAGCGGUGGAGCAUGUGGUUUAAUUCGAUGAUACGCGAGGAACCUUACCAAGGCUUAAAAUGUAGAUUGACAGGUUUGGAAACAGACUUUUCUUCGGACAAUUUACAAGGUGCUGCAUGGUUGUCGU